GUUAAAUGGAAAAAUGUAAACAACUGUCUACCUCACCAGAUUUUCUUCAGUAGAUGGAGUUAAAAGUUUAAUAUUUUUCUGUGUUCAAUUCAACUAUGCAUUAAUGUGUGUUUGUUUUAGGCAGAGCAUUGCCUUCUGCAGUUUCCCUGCAUUAAUCCUCUGGUUGCUCAACUGAUGUUGAGAAGAGCUCCAUCACUGCAGUGGCUGCUGGGAGCUUCUUUCUCUGAGCUGCAGGAAAUGUUCCCACAGAUCCCUCACAAAGUCAUUAAGCUCUUUAGUGACAUCACAGCUGAGUCCAAUGUCAAAAAGAGUGAGACUACACACUUCUCAAACAUAAACAGCCGAACUCACUCUCCCUUUUGGGAACAGGAUCCUGUUAAACCACAGAUACAGCUGGAGGAUAAGAUGCCGCCUAGCCAGUUUACAGAGCUGAUUUCAGGUCAUAACAGCGUGAGAGGAGAGGAUACAGCUCAUUUUCACUCAUACAACCCAUUAACGCCAAGCCAGUUCAGCCGAGGUUCAACUACAGCGAGCGUCUGGCAGCUACAGGGUGAAGGAUUCAUUCAAAACCCAGAUCUCAUGCCAGGCCGAGCUGUUCCACGAGGGUCUGCCCAUGUUCCCUUGGCUCCUCUGCCCACUCCUGAAGUGCUGGGAGGCAGAAACACUGCGUGUGGAUUCAGCUCUAGACCGCAGAGUCAGACUCGCUGGAGCUCACCUGAGAAUCAUCUGCCCAACAAGACAGGAGAGGAGAGGAAGAGGCGAGGAGGAGAAGAUGUGCACAGUGUGCUGCCGCACUGCAAGAGAGGAAGACUGCUAUGUGAGCGAGUUCCAGGCAGAAAUGAUGGACAGACCAGACUGAGAUUUUUCUGAGCAAGUUUUGCUACUUUAUGUUAAGUAUAUCACUCGCUUGAGUGAUAUUUUAGAAUAUUU
ensembl:lncRNA